rnacentral:rRNA from 1 species
UGAGGGAAUAUUUGGGGACAAUGGAUGGAAAUCUGAUCCAGCCAUGCCGCGUGCAGGAAGACGGUCCUAUGGAUUGUAAACUGCUUUAGCAUGGGAGCACUAAGGUGUACGCGUACACCGAUGAGAGUACCAUGAGAAUAAGCACCGGCUAACUCCGUGCCAGCAGCCGCGGUAAUACGGAGGGUGCAAGCGUUAUCCGGAUUUAUUGGGUUUAAAGGGUGCGUAGGCUGUAAGUCAAGUCAGCGGUGAAAAGUCGGGGCUAAACCUUGAGGGUGCCGUUGAAACUGAUUUACUAGAAUGUGGAUGAUGCCGGCGGAAUGUGUCAAGUAGC